AUACUGAUUAUUAUUAUUUUCUUUUUUGAGGGGGUUGUCCGACUAGUUCCGGGUUCGAGUCCCGGGCAACCC
rnacentral:tRNA from 1 species